UACCAGCUCCUCGAGUGGUCAGGGCGUUUAUUGGGCCUAAAGCAUCCGUAGCCGGCUCGGUAGGUCUCCUGUUAAAUCCAACGGCUCAACCGUUGGUCUGCAGGAGAUACCGCUGGGCUAGGAGGCGGGAGAGGCGGACGGUACUCCGCGUGUAGGGGUAAAAUCCUUUGAUCCGCGGAAGACCACCAGUGGCGAAGGCGGUCCGCCAGAACGCGCUCGACGGUGAGGGAUGAAAGCUGGGGGAGCGAACCGG
rnacentral:rRNA from 1 species